rnacentral:rRNA from 1 species
AGAGUUUGAUCAUGGCUCAGGAUGAACGCUGGCGGCGUGCCUAAAACAUGCAAGUCAUACGGGCUACCUUCGGGUAGCCAGUGGCAAACGGGUGAGUAACACGUGGGAACACGCCUUCGAGUGGGGAAUAACGCUGAGAAAUCAGUGCUAAUACCGCAUAUGGUCUAACGACUAAAGCCGCAAGGCGCUCGGGGAGUGGCCCGCGUCCGAUUAGCUAGUUGGUGGGGUAAUGGCCUACCAAGGCGGCGAUCGGUAGCUGGUCUGAGAGGAUGGUCAGCCACACUGGGACUGCGAACGGCCCAGACUCCUACGGGAGGCAGCAGUUAGGAAUUUUCGGCAAUGGACGAAAGUCUGACCGAGCGACGCCGCGUGAAGGAUGAAGCCUCUCGGGGUGUAAACUUCUUUUCUACGGGAAGAUAAUGACGGUACCGUAGGAAUAAGCACCGGCUAACUACGUGCCAGCAGCCGCGGUA